rnacentral:lncRNA from 1 species
AUGAAAUAAAGUUAAAUAUGUAUGUUUAAAAUUUGUCUUAAAAUAUGUUUAUAUUGGUGUGGUAUUAUCACAUACAAUAGAAUGGAUUCAGUAUAGCAAAUAAUAUCUUGUGCCUACUGAGGCCUACGGAUACAAACUUGAAUAAAUCUGGAGGUACUUUCAAUUUAACGAACAAGCUUUUAUUAUAUCCCUUUAAUCUUAUAACCUUAGACUUAAAAUAAGCAUCAUUCUCUGUAUAAAAUAAUACAUGUCAUUUGGAAUUAAUUCAUUUUAGCAUAUAGUGGACUGGAGAACUUUUCUAUCCUCUUAGCCUUAUUGCCAGCCUAGUUUUCCUUAUUUUUUAAGGGUCAGUUUAAGGCAAAUUUUUGAAGUCUUUUCUAAUCUCUAUUCUAAAUGUUACCUUGUUUUGUAAUUAAGUGCUUAAUAUCAUACACCGCUCUAAGCUUUUUAUAUGAAUUAACUCAUUAACCUUCACUAUGAAGUAAAAACACAUAGCCUGUAUCACUCAUUCAGAAAUUACAAAGUGAGCACCUGUUAAAGUGCCAAGUAUUAGGAUGAAUGAAACAAAGUCCUGGUCUUUCUGAAGCUUGAGAUAUGGAGAGGAAAAUAGAUGGCAAACUUCCAGGCAGUUACUACACAGGUUUAUCUCAUUAUGUAUUUGUCUUUGUUUUCUCACCUGAGUAAUCUAAUCUCUUCGAUCCAGUUGCCUGCUUGUUAAGAAUAAAGGGCAAUUCUCUCAUUGCAAGACAAAUAAGUGCCAGUAUUUGAUGACAGGUAGAGGAAUGGAAACAUGUUCCGACUGGGCCUAUCAGGGUCUGAAAUAGAGCCCCAGAAGGGACUGAACCACAUGUCUCCAGGAUUCUUCUCCCAGUGUCAUCAAUUGGAGAGAGGAGUCAAGCCUCCAUGGGAAUUCACACAGAGGAAGAGCUCAUCUGUGGAGGUGGACACCGACAGCGAAAGCACUACAUCAUCUGAGGGUGCCACUCGUACCUUGCUCAUCCAUGGCCCUGUUGAGCUCAAGAGAGGCUGGAGGAGGCAGAAGCAGCAGCUUUUCUUGUACAGCGAUUUGUUGCUGAUGUCUAAUACCAAGUAGGUGUAGCAUGUUUCGUACCCUUGUGAUUCUCAAGAAAAUUGCCUUCCCAUUAACCCUUACUAUAAGAAAACAUUACAUUUUUUUUUCCUUUUGUGUUUGCCAAUGGUUGAAUCCUUCAUUCCACGAGUACUUCUGGAGGUCUUGUUUCGUGUCAUGUCCCUGCAGCGAAUACAAUUGACAAUGUGACAGGCCAGUGUCUCUCCUGCCUGGGACUUACAAAUGAUAAAAAUAAGAGGGGGAAUGAUAAUGAUUAGUGCUGCUGAUAGAAGGUGGAUAGGGGGCUGUGCCGAGAGGGUGGGAACGUGUUAGAGAGAAAUAGUCUAGGAGGGCCUCUCUGAAGUGGAGCAUUAAAACCAAAUCUAUGAGAGGAGAAGCAGCCACAUUCCCAGACAAUGUGCCUGAGCCAUCGAGGCACAGGCCUAAGUGGGUACAAUCUGACCCCUCAGAGAGAGGGGCUCAGGGAAGCUAGAGCAUGGGUCAUGCUAUCAGAUAUGAUAACCUCAGAAAGUUUCUGAACACAAGAGUUUAGCUAUUACUUGGCCGAGCUCUGACUAGAGCCUGGAGCAUGGGCCAUGCUAUCAGAUAUGGUACUGUGCUCAGGGGUCUAGUCACACAGGGUCUUCACAGGCCAUGGUAAAAAAUGUGGAAAUAUUUUGCUGAAGGAGUUUUAACUAGGGGACUGACCAAAUCUGAUUUAUAUUUCUAGCAAAUUUUUCUGACAGUUGGUAGAUAAUAGAUGGAUGGGUAAGCAAGAGUGGAAGCAGGGAGAGUAGUUAGGGGAGGCAAUAGUCCUGAUGGAUGGUAUCAGGUCUCUACCUUAGCAGUUUAGUAAAAAGGAAAGAUGGAGCAGGGUAGCCCGGGUGGCUCAGGGGUUUAGCACCACCUUUAGCCCAGGGUGUGAUCCUGGAGACCCAGGAUCGAGUCCCACGUCAGGCUCCCUGCUGGGGGCCUACUUCUCCCUCUGCCUGUGUCUCUGCCUCUCUCUCUCUCACUCUCUCUGUGUCUAUCAUAAACAAAUAAAUAAUUUUUUUUUAAAAAAAGAAUAGACUAUGACCCCUGCUCCCAACAUUUGUAAGAGAAUGCCUCUAUCUUAGAACAGAGGAAAUCUCCCUAGAAUCCUGCAAAUCUCCACAGUUCACUGGGGCUUACUUUCUGGUAUAAAGGUUAAGGUACCCAAAAAAACCCCCCCUUUUUUUUUUUUUAAAAAGGGGGGGAAAAAAAAAAAAAAAAAUUUUUUUUUUUGGGGAAUUUCAAAAAGGUUUUUUUUUUUUUUCCAAAAAAAAAUUUUAAUUUUUUUAAAAAAAUUUUUUUUUUUUUUUCCCCGGGGGUUUUUCCCAAGUUUUUCGGGGGGGUUUUUUUUUAAAAAAAAAAAAAAUUUUUCCCCUUUUUCCCUUUUUUUAAAAAAAAAAAAAAAUUUUUUUAAAAAAAAAGGGGUUAAAAAAAAUUUUUUUGGGGGGGGGGUUUUUUGUUUUUUUCCCCCCUUUAAAAUUUUUUAAAAAGGGGGGGGGGGGGGGUUUUGGGGGGGGGAAAAAAAAAGGGCCCCCAAGGGGGGAAACCCCCCGGGGGGGGGGGAAAGACAGGGG